AGCGGCGGAUGGGUGAGUAACACGUGGGGAACCUGCCCCUAAGUCUGGGAUACCAUUUGGAAACAGGUGCUAAUACCGGAUAAUAAAGCAGAUCGCAUGAUCAGCUUUUGAAAGGCGGCGUAAGCUGUCGCUAAGGGAUGGCCCCGCGGUGCAUUAGCUAGUUGGUAAGGUAACGGCUUACCAAGGCGACGAUGCAUAGCCGAGUUGAGAGACUGAUCGGCCACAUUGGGACUGAGACACGGCCCAAACUCCUACGGGAGGCAGCAGUAGGGAAUCUUCCAUAAUGGACGCAAGUCUGAUGGAGCAACGCCGCGUGAGUGAAGAAGGUUUUCGGAUCGUAAAGCUCUGUUGUUGGUGAAGAAGGAUAGAGGUAGUAACUGGCCUUUAUUUGGCGGUAAUCAACCAGAAAGUCACGGCUAACUACGUGCCAGCAGCCGCGGUAAUACGUAGGUGGCAAGCGUUGUCCGGAUUUAUUGGGCGUAAAGCGAGCGCAGGCGGAAAAAUAAGUCUAAUGUGAAAGCCCUCGGCUUAACCGAGGAACUGCAUCGGAAACUGUUUUUCUUGAGUGCAGAAGAGGAGAGUGGAACUCCAUGUGUAGCGGUGGAAUGCGUAGAUAUAUGGAAGAACACCAGUGGCGAAGGCGGCUCUCUGGUCUGCAACUGACGCUGAGGCUCGAAAGCAUGGGUAGCGAACAGGAUUAGAUACCCUGGUAGUCCAUGCCGUAAACGAUGAGUGCUAAGUGU
rnacentral:rRNA from 1 species